GAUGAACGCUGGCGGCGUGCCUAAUACAUGCAAGUCGAGCGAACGGACGAGAAGCUUGCUUCUCGGAUGUUAGCGGCGGACGGGUGAGUAACACGUGUAUAACCUACCUAUAAGACUGGUAUAACUUGGGGAAACCGGAGCUAAUACCGGAUAAGAUUUUGAACCGCAUGGGGCAAAGGUGAAAGACGGUCGUUCGGUCACUUAUAGAGGGAUCCGGGCUUCUUUAGUUGGUUGGUAGUGUAACGGCUUACCAAGGCAACGAUGCAUAGCCGAGCGGAGGGGGUGAUCGGCCACGGUGGAACUGACACGCGGUCCAGACUCCGAGGGGAGGCAGCAAUAGGGAAUCUUCCGCAAUGGGCGAAAGCCUGACGGAGCAACGCCGCGUGAGUGAUGAAGGUCUUCGGAUCGUAAAACUCUGUUAUUAGGGAAGAACAUAUGUGUAAGUAACUGUGCACAUCUUGACGGUACCUAAAAAGAAAGCCACGGCUAACUACGU
rnacentral:rRNA from 1 species